rnacentral:rRNA from 1 species
AUUGAACGCUGGCGGCAUGCCUAACACAUGCAAGUCGAACGGCAGCGCGGGGAGCUUGCUCCCUGGCGGCGAGUGGCGAACGGGUGAGUAACACGUAGGAAUCUGCCCAGUAGCGGGGGAUAGCCCGGGGAAACCCGGAUUAAUACCGCGUACGCCCUACGGGGGAAAGAGGGGGAUCUCUUCGGAGACCUCUCACUAUUGGAUGAGCCUACGUCUGAUUAGCUUGUUGGUGGGGUAAUAGCCUACCAAGGCGACGAUCAGUAGCUGGUCUGAGAGGACGAUCAGCCACACCGGAACUGAGACACGGUCCGGACUCCUACGGGAGGCAGCAGUGGGGAAUAUUGGACAAUGGGCGAAAGCCUGAUCCAGCAAUGCCGCGUGUGUGAAGAAGGCCUGCGGGUUGUAAAGCACUUUCAGUCGGGAAGAAAAGCAAGGGG